rnacentral:rRNA from 1 species
GCAGCAGGCACGCAAAUUACCCACUCCCGGCACGGGGAGGUAGUGACAAAAAAUAACGAUACGGGACUCUAUUGAGGCCCCGUAAUCGGAAUGAGUACACUUUAAAUCCUUUAACAAGGAUCCAUUGGAGGGCAAGUCUGGUGCCAGCAGCCGCGGUAAUUCCAGCUCCAAUAGCGUAUAUUAAAGUUGUUGCGGUUAAAAAGCUCGUAGUUGGUUCUGCGUGCCGCGCUGUCGGUUCGCCGCCUGUCGGUGUAACUGGCAUGUCGCGGCAUGUCCUGUCGGUGGUGAACUGUAUUCCCGUUGCUGCUUAGGCUUAACUGUCGAAGCAUGUAACGUGUGUUUUUCAGUUCGCCGAUCUCUCCUACUCCGGUGCUCUUAAACGAGUGUCGAGGUAGGCCGACACGUUCACUUUGAACAAAUUAGAGUGCUUAAAGCAGGCUGAAAUCUCUGCCUGAAUAGUGGUGCAUGGAAUGAUAAAACAGGACCUCGGUUCUAUUUUGUUGGUUUCCGGAAUAUGAGGUAAUGAUCAAUGUGGACUGGCGGGGGCAUUCGUAUUGCGACGUUAGAGGUGAAAUUCUUGGAUCGUCGCAAGACGCACUAGAGCGAAAGCAUUUGCCAAGUAUGUCUUAAUUGAUCAAGAACGAAAGUUAGAGGUUCGAAGGCGAUCAGAUACCGCCCUAGUUCUAACCAUAAACGAUGCCAGCCAGCGAUCCGCCGAUGUUCCUUUAAUGACUCGGCGGGGAGCUUCUACUCGGGAAACCAAAGCUUUUGGGUUCCGGGGGAAGUAUGGUUGCAAAGCUGAAACUUAAAGGAAUUGACGGAAGGGCACCACCAGGAGUGGAGCCUGCGGCUUAAUUUGACUCAACACGGGAAACCUCACCAGGCCAGGACAUUGGAAGGAUUGACAGAUUGAUAGCUCUUUCUUGAUUCAGUG